rnacentral:rRNA from 1 species
AUUCCAGCUCCAAUAGCGUAUAUUAAUGUUGUUGCAGUUAAAAAGCUCGUAGUUGGAUUUCUGCGUCGCGCAGCUCGGUCCGCCGCACUGCGGUGCGACUGUGGUUGGAGCGUCGCUUCUUUGUGGGGACUACUGGUGUCAUUAAUUUGAUGUCUUUAGGAACUGCAUCGUUUACUGUGAAAAAAUUAGAGUGUUCAAAGCAGGCUUAUGCCGUGAAUACAUUAGCAUGGAAUAAUAAGAUAGGACCUCGGUUCUAUUUUAUUGGUUUCUAGAGCUGAGGUAAUGAUCAAUAGGGAUAGUUGGGGGCAUUCGUAUUUAACUGUCAGAGGCGAAAUUCUUGGAUUUGUUAAAGACGGACUACUGCGAAAGCAUUUGCCAAGGAUGUUUUCAUUA